rnacentral:rRNA from 1 species
UACGGAAGGCAGCAGUGGGGAAUAUUGCACAAUGGGCGCAAGCCUGAUGCAGCCAUGCCGCGUGUAUGAAGAAGGCCUUCGGGUUGUAAAGUACUUUCAGCGGGGAGGAAGGCGAUGCGGUUAAUAACCGCGUCGAUUGACGUUACCCGCAGAAGAAGCACCGGCUAACUCCGUGCCAGCAGCCGCGGUAAUACGGAGGGUGCAAGCGUUAAUCGGAAUUACUGGGCGUAAAGCGCACGCAGGCGGUCUGUUAAGUCAGAUGUGAAAUCCCCGGGCUUAACCUGGGAACUGCAUUUGAACUGGCAGGCUUGAGUCUUGUAGAGGGGGUAGAAUUCCAGGUGUAGCGGUGAAAUGCGUAGAGAUCUGGAGGAAUACCGGUGGCGAAGGCGGCCCCUGGGACAAAGCUGACGCUCAGGU